rnacentral:tRNA from 1 species
AGGGUUAUAGCUCAAGUGGUAGAGUACAAGCUUAGCAUGCAUAAGGUCCUGGGUUCAAUCCCCAGUACCUCUU